rnacentral:rRNA from 1 species
UUCUUUAAAUGGGGACUUGUAUCAACGGCACCACGAGGGUUAGACUGUCUCCUUUUUCAAAUCAGUGAAAUUAAUCUCCCCGUGAAGAAGCGGGGAUACUCAUAUAAGACGAGAAGACCCCAUGGAGCUUCAAACCCAACUACACCCCUAGCUCUUAUAGCCCCACAACCCCCCCCCCCC